UAGUCCACGCCCUAAACGAUGUAUACUCGAUGUUUGGAUUUAUUUCUGGGCAUCCAAGGGAAACCAUUAAGUAUACCACCUGGGGAGUACGUCGGCAACGAUGAAACUCAAAGGAAUUGACGGGGGCCCGCACAAGCGGUGGAGCAUGUGGUUUAAUUCGAUGAUACGCGAGGAACCUUACCAGGGCUUAAAUGUAGAUUGACAGGUUUAGAGAUAGACUUUUCUUCGGACAAUUUACAAGGUGCUGCAUGGUUGUCGUCAGCUCGUGCCGUGAGGUGUCAGGUUAAGUCCUAUAACGAGCGCAACCCCUAUUUUUAGUUGCUAACAGGUUAAGCUGAGGACUCUAGAGAGACUGCCGGUGCAAACCGUGAGGAAGGUGGGGAUGACGUCAAAUCAUCACGGCCCUUACGUCCUGGGCUACACACGUGCUACAAUGGUAUAUACAGAGGGCAGCUACUUGGCGACAAGAUGCGAAUCUCCAAAGUAUAUCACAGUUCGGAUUGGAGU
rnacentral:rRNA from 1 species